UGUAUUUAAUGUAAAAAUUCAACUGCAACCAUAGUCAUUAAAAAUGUUCUCAUGUAAAAAUCUAUUUGUUCAUUCUAAUUUAAAACAUAAAUUCUACUUGUACUGUUGGAUUAUCAAAACAUGACCUUUGUUUCAUAGAAAUUCAAAAUUUAAUGUUCAUGUUACCUUGAAGCUCAAAUGGAGAAUGCAUACUUGAAUCAUAUGACAUAUACAAAGAACAAAGCAGUAUCAUGAACUUAUACAUUAUUCAUGUGAUUUUCAAACCAAAUUUUGCGACCAUAAAUAUAGAAAUUAACUGAUCAACUACUAUCAUUUAUAAAUGUCAACAUUGUAGCAUUUUUUUAUGUUCAUAAAAUUAAUUGAACACAAGUUUUGUUCUAUUUCAAAAAACAAAUUAUAAAUCAACCUUAAUUGCAAGGUAUGCUUAGAUUUGUAACUGCUAAAUGUGGACCAUUAAAUAUUUACUAUAUAUUUUACCUAUUUUUUAGGCAAAAAAAAAUCAUCAUCCAGCAUAAAUGAUCUGAACAUAAUGGGUCAAAGAUUCAAAAGGUUUCUUAAAUAAUGAAGAAUUGUCUUUCAUGGACGUUUAAAUAACAUACAUGAAGGUAUGAAAUGAAUGAAAAAAUGGGAAAGAAAAUCUGUAAAAAACACCAUAAUAAAUGUCAAACUUUCUGAGCUGUCUGCUGAAAUAUGUUUGUUGAAUAAAAAAAAGAAUAAGAUACAAAGUAAAUGGUAAAUAAAAGAGUUCAAAACAAUAUUUCAUGAUAAUUGAUGCAAAAUUUCAAUAUUUGUUCUCUUUUUCUGUGUCUUUCAAACAGCUGGGUAGAAAAAGUGUAGGUGUAAGUUGGACAAAAUGGGAACCUUCUUUUUCCUGCCAACCCCCUCCCAUUUUUGUGCAACCUUGACAACUAUCUGUUGAUACCACUGCUAGUAGGAUUUUUCCAGUAAAAGUGGUAGACUUACAGGCUAUUGAGAUUGGACCUGUUUAGACUGUCAUAGAACUUCUAUUAUGGUCUUUUCUGCACACAACAUAGUAUGUGUUAUAUGAUGAUCAUUGAACUCGUAUUUAAAACUAUAUUUUUGGUGUGACAACUUUGGUUAUCAAAUUGAACAAAACAAACUCAAUUUGUAUCUAGUAAUCAACUCCAGUUGUUCAGGCUUACAAACGAAAGAUUAGAUAAUUUCAAGUCAAAGAAAAGGCAAAAUUUCCCUGAAAAUUGGGUCAACCAAAACUAAUGCAAAAUCAUUUGAGUCAUUUUAUGAACAAUGGACUAUACAAUGAUGAUGAUAAUGUAAUGACACAACUGAGUAUAAAGAUUCAUUUAUGUGAUAGUUGAUGGUGUGAUAGAACGAAACUAUGAAAAAAAAGAAUAAAAAAAACAGAGCAAAUGAUAUUAUGGAGACUCAAAUAAUGGAUAGCUUCAUAAAAAGAAAUUACUAAUGGCAAAGUUUGUAUUGUGUCUCGUCUAGCUUAAAUUUGCACAAUUUUUUAUGACGAAUGUGAAGUUAUUUACAUUAUGUUACAACAUGAUAAUCUCUUUGUCAAAAAUUGUUCAACUGACAUAAAUGUUAAAAACAACAACAAUUUUUGUAACAUAAGAUGUAAAACAAAAAUAACGUGAAAGUACAUCUUAUGAACAUCUUAAUAUGCAAAAAUGCACAUGAACUAUAUGUGUUCAGUGUCUGAAGAUAUAAGCUGUAUUUGUACAAAGAUAAGAAACAGGUGAAAUGCAAGCUUCCGCAAUAUUAAGAGAAAAUAUAAAUACUUUAUCCUGCAAUUAAUUUGAGUAAUAUUUUAGAUCAACAUAGUUCAUUGACCAAGUUUUUAUCCAUAAUCUAUUGAAAGAUGUUAUAUUGCUAUUUUUCGAAAUAUUUUCAUUUGUUUCCAUAAACGUUAUAAUUUUCCAUCUUACACUACCAAAUUGAGAAAUAUUUGGUCCCGGUAGAACUGAGAAUGAGAUGAUGUCAUUAGCCAAAAGUUGUUGACAUUAUCUAGGAAUAUAGCUAUAAACAGAUUAACUAUGGUCUUUCAAACUUGAGGAAGCUUCUCUGCCUCAUCUCAGAGCUCAUACCUAUGAUAAAACUUUAGCUAAGAAACUUUCUCUACUUAUCUGAAUCAUUGAUAGUCUAUAAUCAACAUGCUACCAUGAAAAUUUAUUUCACAGAACAUCUUUUAAUGAAUUAAAAACAAUAAACACUUGUUCAAUAUUACCCAGGGAGGAUCAAGAGGUCAAAGGUUCAAUCAUAACAUGGGAACAAGAGGUCAAAUGCAAAAUCUUACUGAGGGAAUAAGAGGUCAAAGGUACAAUAUUACUAUGGGAGCAAGAGGUCAAAGGUUCAAUCUAACUGUGGGAACAAGAGGUCAAAUAUUCAAUCUUACUGUUGAAACAAGAUGUCAAAGAUUGAAUCUUAUUGUGGAAACAAAAAGUCAAAGGUUCAAUCUUACUGUGGGAAGAGGUCAAAGUAUUAAUCUUACUGUGGGAACAAGAGGUCAAAGGUAUAAGAACACAUGUUGACCUGUCUUCAAAUAUUUUUCUACAUCUCAUUUACAGUGUUUUAAAAAGUGUCAUGUGUAACAUACAGACAAAUCAUAUUCUAAAUAUAUGGAACAAUAAUCAUUACCGAAACUGAAAUAAAGUUAAAAGUAUAAAAAACAAGUUUUGCAUAAUUCACCUCAAAAAGGAGUCUGACAGUGCAUAAAAAAAAAUUAAUUCAAUGUAAAUAACUGUCUUAAAAUAUUUGAAAUG
rnacentral:lncRNA from 1 species